UACGAAGGGGGCUAGCGUUGCUCGGAAUCACUGGGCGUAAAGGGUGCGUAGGCGGGUUUUUAAGUCAGGGGUGAAAUCCUGGAGCUCAACUCCAGAACUGCCUUUGAUACUGAAGAUCUUGAGUCCGGGAGAGGUGAGCGGAACUGCGAGUGUAGAGGUGAAAUUCGUAGAUAUUCGCAAGAACACCAGUGGCGAAGGCGGCUCACUGGCCCGGUACUGACGCUGAGGCACGAAAGCGUGGGGAGCAAACAGG
rnacentral:rRNA from 1 species